CUACGGGUGGCAGCAGUAGGGAAUAUUGCGCAAUGGGCGAAAGCCUGACGCGGCAAUACCGCGUGAGUGAGGAAGGAUUUCGGUUCGUAAAGCUUUGUCAGGGUGGAAAAACGGCGAUGGGUCCAAUAGGCCCAGCGAUUGAUGGUACACCCAAAGGAAGCACCGGCUAACUUCGUGCCAGCAGCCGCGGUAAUACGAAGGGUGCAAGCGUUGUUCGGAUUUAUUGGGCGUAAAGCGCGCGCAGGCGGAUAGAUAAGUCAGGUGUGAAAUCUCGGGGCUCAACCCCGAAACUGCGCCUGAAACUGUUUAUCUAGAAUGUUGGAGAGGGAAGAAGAAUUUCGCAUGUAGGGGUAAAAUCCGUAGAGAUGCGAAGGAAUAUCAGAGGCGAAGGCGUCUUCCUGGCCAAAUAUUGACGCUGAGGCGCGAAAGCGUGGGGAGCAAACAGGAUUAGAUACCCGCGUAGUC
rnacentral:rRNA from 1 species